GACUAAAGAGAGAGACGAGCUACAGACCAGUUAUAACACCCUGACUAAAGAGAAAGACCAGCUACAGACCAGUUAUAACACCCUGACUAAAGAGAAAGACCAGCUACAGAGCCGUUACAACACCUUGACUAAAGAGAGAGACAAUCUACAGACCAGUUACAACACCCUGACUAAAGAGAGAGACGAUCUACAGACCAGUUACAACACCCUGACUGAAGAGAGAGACCAGCUACAGAACAGUCUCACKACAAGGACRAAAGASAGYGACCAGCAGCAAAAUAGUCUUAAAGUUAUGACUGCUGAAAGGGAGCAAUUACAGAAUAGUCUUAACUCAAGGACCAAAGAGAGAAACCAGUUGCAGAAUAAUCUAAAUACCAGGACCAKAGAGAAAAACCAYCUACAGAAUAGUCUCACAACCAAAACUAAGGAGAAAGACCAGUUGCAGAAUACUCUCACCACAAUAACUCAGGAGAGAGARCAGAUGCAGAAWACUCUAAAUACCAGGACCACAGAGAAAGACCAGUUACAGAAUAGUCUAAAUACCAGGACCACUGAGAGAGACCAGCUACAGAACAGUCUAAAUACCACGACCACUGAGAGAGACCAGCUACAGAACAGUCUAAAUACCACGACCACUGAGAGAGACCAGCUACAGAAUAGUCUAAAUACCAGAACCACUGACAGAGACCAGUUACAGACCAGGCUUAGGUUCUAUGAGAAACCCUGUCUGGAUGGAUGGUGGAAGUUUGGCACCAGCUGUUACUAUGUCUCCUCCACGAUGGACACAGGCGGGGSCGGUCAGKYGSAGUGCAGAGCAAUGGGUGCAGAUGAUGUUAUUAUAAACAGCAGAGAAGAACAGAUAUUUAUCCAUGGAUUUAAGAAGAAUGUCUGGAUUGGUGCAUAAAAAAGAUGGAAUCUGGAGUGGGUUGACAACACACCAUU